rnacentral:rRNA from 1 species
CCUACGGUGGGCUGCAGUGGGGAAUAUUGGGCAAUGGGCGCAAGCCUGACCCAGCAACGCCGCGUGAAGGAAGAAGGCUCUCGGGUUGUAAACUUCUUUUAUCAGGGACGAAGCAAGUGUCGGUACCUGAUGAAUAAGCCACGGCUAACUACGUGCAAGCAGCCCCGGUAAUACGUAGGUGGGAGGCUUUAUCCGGAUUUAAUGGGUGUAAAGGGGGUGUAGGCGGGAAAGUAAGUCAGAUGUGAAAACCGUGGGCUCAACCUGUGGCCUGCAUUUGAAACUGGUUUUCUGGAGUACUGGAGAGGCAGACGGAAUGCGUAGUGUAGCGGUGAAAUGCGUAGAUAUUAGGAGGAACACCAGUGGCGAAGGCGGUCUGCUGGACAGCAACUGACGCUGAGGCGCGAAAGCGUGGGGAGCGAACAGGAUUAGAUACCCUGGUAGUC